CUUUUUGUCCCCUCCUUGCUGGUCUUCUAAGCAGAUUGAAGCAGCUUCAUCUCAUUCCUGGUUCAUCCUGAUUCCCUCAGUGGCUUGCUCCUGCAUUAGUAAUGUAAAACUGGCCCAAAAGGGUUUAAAAUUGUCAGAAGUUGAUCUUGAUCAGUUCAAAUAUUUUUUGACAAAGAAAAUCAGUUCUGGUCAGUUCAAAUCUAUUUUGACCAGUUUAAACCAAUUCUGCAGAACUCGAGCCUGUGGUCGGUAAACCCAGGAAGAUGGCUGAAGACUAUGCUGAUUCAAGCCAAAGCAAGGAAUCAGAGAAAGGUAAGAUUCAUUAAGACUUGGGUGAAAAGAGUUAACAUGGGCAGAAUCCUGGAAGACUUCAAGAAGAAGGUGGAAUUCAAACGGAGUCCUGAAGAAUAGGAUGGGCCGCAAAGGAGAUUCUUCCAAGAUUUCAGAAGUUGGAAGGGAAGCAGAAUCCAUUUGAUAACACAAACACAUUGUUGCUUAUCUGUUGACUCAACUUGGGAUGAAGAAGCAGUUGAGCCAGUUGUGUGUGUAGAGCUCAAGGACAAAGGUCCUUAGCUUCUGCAGAAUACUAUCAUCACCAAGCUCACAGGCUUCUAGAGCAGACAUGUGCUUCAGUCCAUUCUGUGGGCUUCCAGCUUCUACUCUUGGAGUUCCAUCCUUUUUUAUGAUAUUACCUUUCUAACUGCAUAUGCUGUGGACUUCAAGCACUUGAAUCAGAUGUAGAGACAUUAUAUGGACUGCUUGAGUAGCCCCCACAACUGUGUAAGCCAAAUCCCUGUAACAAGUAUUUAUCCGUCCAUCCAUUCAUCUGUCUGUCUAUCUAUGAAUCUAUUGAUCUAUCUAGCUAUAUUAGUCCAUUCUUGCACUCUAUAAAGCACUACACAAGACUGGAUAAUUUAUAAAG
rnacentral:lncRNA from 10 species